AUUGGUGUUCGGUGUGGCUUGUGUAGGAUAGGUGGGAGACUUUGAAGCGGGCACGCCAGUGUUCGUGGAGUCAUUGUUGAAAUACCACUCUGGUCACUCUGGAUAUCUAACUUCGAACCGUGAUCCGGUUCAGGGACAGUGCCUGGUGGGUAGUUUAACUGGGGCGGUUGCCUCCCAAAAAGUAACGGAGGCGCCCAAAGGUUCCCUCAACCUGGUUGGCA
rnacentral:rRNA from 1 species